rnacentral:sRNA from 1 species
GAUGGCUAUUCGAACUUGAAAUCUGUCGCUUUUUUUGUAAAUUUUUUUGCUUUUUCCAUCUGUUAGGUUGACAGCCCCACGUCGAGGACCCUGUGGCUCGGCGACCAUGCGUUAUCGUCCUAUUGUUAUUAACGUUUGCUUGGUCCAACAGGGCCCGCAGAUUGGCCAACUGGCAUUUUCUUUAUCUCCCACGUGUUACUCUAUAUACGGAGCCUUCGUCGAAUCGGUUGUUGCCAUUUGUUAGUCAUGGUGGAGCUUGAGGCAUGGGCAUUUAUUGGACCGAAUGUAACACAAGGAGGGUAUCAGUGAUGCUGCACAUCUGCACGGUUUACUCCCCAUUCGUUGUCACUUGAGACGGACGCGCUAUGUGCAGUAGUGUAUCAUGUGGAGAGGCUCGAGAGACCCUGGAAGAUUAGGACCAUUCUUUUCAACAAUAGGGUUAAUGUGCAUGAUCGAUGACGUUGGAUGAAAUCUGAUGGUAUUCAGUAUUGGAUAACAAAGUAAUUGAAACAUCAAAAUAGAGUUGAUUUGACUCAAAGAUGAUACAAGACAAGUCUCAUUCUCUACACAGCUCAUUCUCUCUAUUCAGUUGCCAAUGAUCAGGUACACAUAUGUUAUUCUAACUGUAUUGGGAAAAUGGAUGAAAUGAACUGCGUCCAUAGCUAUAUAAAGUCUAGACUAGCAUGGGGUUUUGGUACUGCACUAAAACAAGGUAGUUUGACUAUCAAUAACAAUAGGUUGCAGAAUCUGUCUAAUAUUUUCUGAAAAUCAACAUGUUAUCCACAGUAUUACGAUCGAGUUUCGUCUUUGCUGGUAAGAGCGGCCUUUAGCUCAUAAGAUCCCGCC